GACGAACGCUGGCGGCGUGCUUAAUACAUGCAAGUCGAACGGAAAGGCCCUGCUUUUGUGGGUUGCUUGAUUGGCGAACGGGUGAGUAACACGUGAGUAACCUGCCCUUGACUUUGGGAUAACUCCUGGAAACUGGGGCUAAUACAGGAUAGGAGCUCUUGCUGCAUGGUGGGGGUUGGAAAGAUUCGGUGGUGGGGGAUGGACUCGCGGCUUCUCCGCUUGUUGGUGGGGUAGUGGCUUACCAAGGCUUUGACGGGUAGCCGGCCUGAGAGGGUGACCGGCCACAUGGGGACUGAGAUACGGCCCAGACGCCUACGGUAGGCAGAAGUGGGGAAUAUUGCACAAUGGGCGGAAGCCUGAGGCAGCAACGCCGCGUGCGGGAUGACGGCCUUCGGGGUGUAAACCGCUUUCGCCUGUGACGAAGCGUGAGUGACGGUAAUGGGUAAAGAAGCACCGGCUAACUACGUG
rnacentral:rRNA from 1 species